rnacentral:lncRNA from 1 species
CCUUGUGGAGGCUUGUGGGGUGGCACUUUUGGAGGCUUUUCUCCCUUAGCCUUGGGUGGUAUCUGAAAUUUUGGUCCCUCGUGUUUGUCCUCAACAUUCUCACCUAGGAGGCGUCUGUGAGGAGGUUUUUCUCCAUGUGAUGGCUCUUUUCCCUUACCCUUUGGUGGUUUGUGUUCCGGUAAUGGCUUGUGUUCUGGUGGUUUCUCACCAGGGAAUGGCUUUUUGGGUGGUUUACCAUUUGAGAAUCUUGAUAGUUCAUGUUCAUGUGGAGGCUUUUCUCCCUUACCCUUGGGUGGUUUAAAACCUGGGGUUUUUGGCGGUUUGUGUGUGUCCUCAACAUCCUCACUUAAGAGGCGUCUGUGAGGAGGUUUUCCCCCAUGUGGUGGCUCCUUUCCCUUACCCUUUGAUGGUUUGUUUUCCGGUAAUGGCUUGUGUUCUGGUGGUUUCUCACCAGGGAAUGGCUUUUUGGGUGGUUCACCAUUUUGG